rnacentral:rRNA from 1 species
CGGUGAAUACGUUCCCGGGCCUUGUACACCCCGCCCGUCACACCACGAAAGUUGGUAACACCCGAAGCCGGUGGCCCAACCCUUUUGGGAGGGAGCCGUCGAAGGUGGGAUUAGCGAUUGGGGUG